CUGAAGUUGGCACAGCUAAAGCUAACAGCGGCUGCUCCACCGUUUACCAGGAACUGGUGUGGUCCGACAGCGCCACUUGCUGCUGGGGAGGCGGAACUACAUUAUAUUUAUAGUGGGUCAAUACAUAAAUGAAGGAGGCGUUCAAAAGCAAGACAGCUGUGGGAAAGAAGCUGCUCCGGGUUCUGGUGGUUCUGUAACGUCUCCCAGAGGGCAGGAGGGAAAAGAGUGUGUGUGCUGGUCACAUGACCAGCUGAGCGCUUCAGCUGCAGAGGACCGGUCAACCUUAAAGCAUCGCUGAGAUGUUCAGAAGUUCUGCAUUGAUCCCACAGUGAUCAAUAAGUGAAAGUAAGCUGCCGCCAGCGCAGAGCUUGAUGAAGACGCUUUAAAGACAGAAAAACUGAAGACAUACAGACAGAAACAAACUUUGUUGAUCCUCUGCAGUGAAUUCAGCAG